rnacentral:rRNA from 1 species
UGGGGAAUUUUGCGCAAUGGGCGGAAGCCUGACGCAGCAACGCCGCGUGGAGGAUGAAGGUCUUUGGAUUGUAAACUCCUGUCAGCAGGGAAAAAGGGACUGGACCUCAUACGUCUGGAACUUGAUUGUACCUGCAGAGGAAGCCCCGGCUAACUCUGUGCCAGCAGCCGCGGUAAUACAGAGGGGGCGAGCGUUAUUCGGAAUUAUUGGGCGUAAAGGGCGCGUAGGCGGCUUUGCAAGUGACGGGUGAAAGCCCUCGGCUUAACCGAGGAACUGCCUGUCAGACUGUGAGGCUUGAGACCGGGAGAGGUGAGUGGAAUUCCCAGUGUAGCGGUGAAAUGCGUAGAUAUUGGGAGGAACACCAGUGGCGAAGGCGGCUCACUGGACCGGAACUGACGCUGAGGCGCGAAAGCGUGGGGAGCAAACAG